AACGAACGCUGGCGGCGUGUUUAAGACAUGCAAGUCGUACGGGGUGAUUGAGGUAGCAAUACAUCGGUCAUCCAGUGGCGCACGGGUGAGUAACGCGUGAAUGACAUACCCUGCAGAGGGGGAUAGCCCAGGGAAACUUGGAUUAAUACCCCAUGGUAUCGAGAGAUUAAAGGUGGCCGCAAGGCUGUCGCUGCGGGAUUGGUUCGCGUCCUAUCAGCUAGUUGGCGGGGUACGGCCCACCAAGGCUACGACGGGUACCUGGUUUGAGAGAACGAUCAGGCACACUGGAACUGAGACACGGUCCAGACACCUACGGGUGGAAGCAGUCGAGAAUAAUUCACAAUGGGGGCAACCCUGAUGGUGCAACGCCGCGUGGAGGAUGAAGGUCUUCGGAUUGUAAACUCCUGUCAUCCGGGAGUAAGACCUGGCUGUGAAUAGCAGACAGGGUUGAUAGUACCGGAAGAGGAAGGGACGGCUAACUUCGUGCCAGCCGCCGCGGUAA
rnacentral:rRNA from 1 species